UACGUAGGGGGCAAGCGUUGUCCGGAUUUAUUGGGCGUAAAGAGCGUGUAGGCGGUUAUACAGGUCCGCUGUGAAAACUGGAGGCUUAACCUCCAGACGUCGGUGGAAACCGUAUGACUAGAGUCCGGAAGAGGAGAGUGGAAUUCCUGGUGUAGCGGUGAAAUGCGCAGAUAUCAGGAAGAAUACCCGUGGCGAAGGCGGCUCUCUGGGACGGUACUGACGCUGAGACGCGAAAGCGUGGGGAGCGAACAGG
rnacentral:rRNA from 1 species